UACGUAGGGAGCAAGCGUUGUCCGGAAUUACUGGGUGUAAAGGGAGCGUAGGCGGGAUGGCAAGUUGGGUGUUAAAUCUACCGGCUCAACUGGUAGUCGCACUCAAAACUGCUAUUCUUGAGUGAAGUAGAGGCAGGCGGAAUUCCUAGUGUAGCGGUGAAAUGCGUAGAUAUUAGGAGGAACGCCAGUGGCGAAGGCGGCCUGCUGGGCUUUUACUGACACUGAGGCUCGAAAGUGUGGGGAGCAAACAGG
rnacentral:rRNA from 1 species